UACGUAGGGGGCAAGCGUUGUCCGGAGUUACUGGGCGUAAAGCGCACGCAGGCGGUCUUUUAAGUUUGGAGUGACAGUUGGUGGCUUAACUGCCAAAGUGCUUCGAAAACUGAGAGACUUGAGGGCUUCAGAGGGACACGGAAUUCCGGGUGGAGUGGUGAAAUGCGUAGAGAUCCGGAGGAACACCAAAGGCGAAGGCAGUGUCCUGGGGAGUACCUGACGCUCAGGUGCGAAAGCCAGGGAGGCGAACGGG
rnacentral:rRNA from 1 species